CCUGUGUGGUGGUACUUCCCCCUACCCUCCAUCCUGGCUCAGUGCUGGGCCCCCCAGAUAUUUGGUCCCAGGACACUGGCUCGUGCAAGGCUUCCAGUCCCACAGGAGGCCCCAGGCAUCCAGGAGGACAGAGCAGGCCCCCUAGGCUGCAGGGCUGGCUGUCACUCACCUCCCCCCUCAGCUCUCACAGGCACAAUGAGAGGUGGAGAAGACAACUACUGUUUUAAGAUUCUCAUAAGUCUGGUGGAGGAGACAGGAGACAGAACAACGUGUGACCAGAAGUUGAAGGGACGGUGGAGCCGAGUGAAUGGCAACUGCCCCAGCCUGGGACCCAGGGGGCGCUUCCUGGGCGAGACAUGGGCUAAGUUGGCCAGACCUGCGGAUUCUGAACCGUCCUGUGGAACACCAGUUGACUUCCCUCUCCCCAGUUUUGCCUCUGUUUGCACAUUCAUUUCAAUAUUGCCUCCAUUUGCACAUUUAUUCAUAUCAAUAAAUGUGUCUGGAGCCAGCCCUGAUGGCCUAGUGGUUAAGUUGGGCACUCUCCGCUUUGGUGGCCCAGGUUCGGUUCCUGGGCGUGGAACCACACCACUCGUCUGUCAGUAGCCGUGCUGUGGUGGUGGCUCACAUAAAAGAACUAGAACUUACAACUAUAUACAACUACGUACUGGGGCUUUGAGGGGGAGAAAAGGAAUAAAAAAGGAGGAAGAGUGGCAACAGAUGUUAGCUUAGGGCAAAACUUCCCCUACGAAAAAAAAAAUGUGUCUGUUCUUCACAUUCUCUUUUGAACUGGUGAUCACAGCUGCCUGGUUCCCUCACUGAUUCAGGAGUAUAAUAAACUCUUUAACACG